rnacentral:lncRNA from 1 species
GCUAGCUAGAGAAAUUUCCCUCUCAGAUUAUUUUAGUUGGACAUAAUUGCCGUCGUUUCGAUGCCCCAAGACUAAUGAGAUCCCUGUCUCAAUAUAAUUUAAGCACAUCAUUUCAAAAGAAAGUAAUCGGCUUUAUGGAUACACUAUCUUUUUUCAGGAACAAGUAUCCCCAUCUGAAGUGCCACAAGCAGGAAUUUUUGGCUGAAAAUUUAUUACAAAAACAAUACCAGGCACACAAUGCUUCUGAGGAUGUUAGUAUCUUACAAUCUAUUCUUAACCAUGCACAACCAUCAGAAACAGAGAUUUCAGAAAAUUCUUUUUGUACAGAAUCCCUAAUCAGAAAUAUUGUUUCUGUCAAAC